AUUGAACGCUGGCGGCAGGCCUAACACAUGCAAGUCGAGCGAGCGGCGGACGGGUGAGUAAUGUCUGGGAAACUGCCUGAUGGAGGGGGAUAACUACUGGAAACGGUAGCUAAUACCGCAUACUAUCGGAUGAACCCAUAUGGGAUUAGCUGGUUGGUGGGGUAAAGGCUCACCUAGGCGACGAUCCCUAGCUGGUCUGAGAGGAUGACCAGCCACACUGGAACUGAGACACGGUCCAGACUCCUACGGGAGGCAGCAGUGGGGAAUAUUGCACAAGGGGCGCAAGCCUGAUGCAGCCAUGCCGCGUGUAUGAAGAAGGCCUUAGGGUUGUAAAGUACUUUCAGCGGGGAGGCGUUACUCGCAGAAGAAGCACCGGCUAACUCCGUGCCAGCAGUCGCGGUAAUUC
rnacentral:rRNA from 1 species